CCCCCUAUAGUUUAAAUGAACAUAACUUUUUCAAUGUUAAAGAAGUUUAGGGGUA
rnacentral:tRNA from 1 species